rnacentral:rRNA from 1 species
GCUUGUCUCAAAGAUUAAGCCAUGCAUGUCUAAGUAUAAAUCUUUUACUUUGAAACUGCGAACGGCUCAUUAUAUCAGUUAUAGUUUAUUUGAUAGUCCCUUACUACUUGGAUAACCGUAGUAAUUCUAGAGCUAAUACAUGCUAUCAAGCCCGACUUCUUGAAGGGUUGUAUUUAUUAGACUUAAGCCAAUAUUCCUUGUGUCUAUUGCGAUGAUUCAUAAUAACUGAUCGAAUCUCAAAUUUGAGAUAAAUCAUUCAAGUUUCUGCCCUAUCAGCUUUCGAUGGUAGUGUAUUGGACUACCAUGGCAGUAACGGGUAACGAAGAAUUAGGGUUCGAUUCCGGAGAGGGAGCCUUAAAAACGGCUACCACAUCCAAGGAAGGCAGCAGG